GUGGGGAAUUUUGGACAAUGGGCGCAAGCCUGAUCCAGCCAUUCCGCGUGCAGGAUGAAGGCCUUCGGGUUGUAAACUGCUUUUGUACGGAACGAAAAGCCUCUGGUUAAUACCCGGGGGUCAUGACGGUACCGUAAGAAUAAGCACCGGCUAACUACGUGCCAGCAGCCGCGGUAAUACGUAGGGUGCGAGCGUUAAUCGGAAUUACUGGGCGUAAAGCGUGCGCAGGCGGUGAUGUAAGCCAGUUGUGAAAUCCCCGGGCUCAACAUGGGAACUGCAUCUGUGACUGCAUUGCUGGAGGGCGGCAGAGGGGGAUGGAAUUCCGCGUGUAGCAGUGAAAUGCGUAGAUAUGCGGAGGAACACCGAUGGCGAAGGCAAUCCCCUGGGCCUGCACUGACGCUCAUGCACGAAAGCGUGGGGAGCAAACAGGAUUAGAAACCCGGGUAGUCC
rnacentral:rRNA from 1 species